UAACCUUUUAUUUUCACAUUUUUCACCCCUACGAAUUAUAAAUCUAUUUAACCAGGAUCCAUUUUUAUAUUAUCACAUACUGUAUUAUUUUAUUUUUUGAUAUAAAUAGUUUAGUUUAUUUUUCUUGUAUAAAUCUACCUAUGUUCAAACUAUUAUUUAAAAAGUUAUUUUGUUUAAAUAUCAUAUUUUCCAUGAUUUUAGACUGGAUCAUCUUUUAUAUACUGUUAAUUAAAACACUAUUUUGUUGAUUUUUUAUGUUUUAUAUGAUUUAGACUGAAUUUCAUCAUAUAUAUAUAUAUAUGUCAUUAUAUUAAAUUAUUAUUUUAAAUGUUCUUCGGGGAAAUUUUACUUUUACACUUUGUUUGAUACCACUAUUCAAUUUUACCACCAAUUUAGGGACAUUUUCAUAAAUACCACUUUCAUUAAUGAACAAAACACAAUAGUACCCUUACCUUAUCUUCUCCUCAAUCAUCGACUCUUCCUCUCUCUUUUUGAGAUCCAUUUUCUCUCAGACUUACCGUCGAGAUCCGCCGUCUCCGUCGAGAUCCGCCGUUUCCGUCGAGAUCUGCCGUCUCCGUCGAGAUCCGCCGUCUCCGUCGAGAUCUGCCGUCUCUGUCGAGAUCAACCGUCUCCGUCGAGAUCCGCCAUCUCUCUCUCUCACACAACCGGCGACGAAAACGGAUUACAGAGAAUCGCGAUUCAAAGCCUUCAAAUGUUGAUUCCUGUUCAAGAUUCACAACUCGUACGUCUCUAAUUCUUGUAUUCUUUUGUUUGUUUCGAGUAAAUAUUUGAUUUUGUUCUUUCUCUUAUCAAAAAAUCAAAAAGGUUUGCUUUAAACUUCUCAUUUGAACAUGUCGAUCUAAGAGAAACAAUUUUCAUAGUGAACAAUAUUGAGUUUUGACAACUUAAAAUCCUUUAUAAAUCUGGGUUUCAAGUAAUUUUAGGGAUUUCUCCUUUCUGUUAUAAAAAUAGAAUACGGUUAAUUUGGACUUGUCAUUUGAAUGGUCCUUGCUAAGAGAGAGAUUUUUCGAUAGUGAACAUUGUAUAUUAAGGAAUUAUAACCCUUUAUAAAUAUGGGUUUUAGGAUAUUGUUGAUAAUACAACUCAACGAUUUACAAGAUUUUAUAAAAGAAGUUUUUUAACAAGAGUUCAUCGCAUAUGUCUAUAGGACAACAUAUAAAUGUGUGAACUAAAGAAGUCUUGUGUUGUGUUAUUCUAUAUUAUUUGUAAGAUUGUUGUCGAAAUACACGAAUCCUAUGCUUGGAUAAGUUAGACAGCAAUGAAUCUUGCACAUCUUCAUGAUUGCCUCCAAGGAUUUAUGAAGCUGGAACAGAACCACUAGACAAUCCAAAAGUGAUUAUCCAAUCGGUGUCUUGGUCAAUAAUGUUAAGUGUUUUAUAAAAGAUUAUAAAUGUAGUAUUAUAGGGGUUUAUAAAUUUAUAAAUUAGAGAGACUUAUAAUACGUUGUUUAUUCUUUGUUACAUCUUGUGGUUAAUACAUUAUUUGGAUUCUCUGAGGAAUACAAACAUUUGGUGACCCCAACA